rnacentral:rRNA from 1 species
AGUGAACGCUGGCGGUAGGCCUAACACAUGCAAGUCGAACGGCAGCACAGUAAGAGCUUGCUCUUACGGGUGGCGAGUGGCGGACGGGUGAGGAAUACAUCGGAAUCUACUUUUUCGUGGGGGAUAACGUAGGGAAACUUACGCUACUACCUCAUACGACCUACGGGUGAACGCAUGGUAUCUUCGGACCUUGCCCUAUUGAAUGAGCCGAUGUCGGAUUAGCUAGUUGGCGGGGUAAAGGCCCACCAAGGCGACGAUCCGUAGCUGGUCUGCGAGGAUGAUCGGCAACACUGGAACUGAGACACGGUCCAGACUCCUACGGGAGGCAGCAGUGGGGAAUAUUGGACAAUGGGCGAAAGCCUGAUCCAGCCAUACCGCGUGGGUGAAGAAGGCCUUCGAGUUGUAAAGCCCGUUUGUUGGGAAAGAAAAGCAGCAGGUUAAUACCCCGCUGUUCUGACGGUACCCAAAGAAUAAGCACCGGCUAACUUCGUG